rnacentral:lncRNA from 1 species
GGACUGGGACUGAAUUACACCAUGAGCUUUCCUGAUUUUCCAGCUUGCAGAUAGCAUAUUUAGUGAGCCAGCUCCCCUAAUAAACCUUCUAUGGCUCUCUAAAUAUAUCCUAUUGGUUCUGUUUCUCUGGAGAACUCUGACUAAAUAUAUCAGUCUAGAACCUAACUCUACUCUGCAUAUAAGCAUUGAGUAUUGUAGCACAUUUUUUAUUUUACUUUAUUUUAUUAUUUAUUUAUUUAUUUAUUUUUGAGACGGAAUCUUGCUCUGUCACCCAGCCUGGAGUGCAGUGGCUACUACAACCUCUGUCUCCUGGGUUCGAGCGAUUCUCCUGCCUCAACUCCUGAGUAGCUGGGACUAUAGGUGCACGCCACCACGCCCAGCUAAUUUUUGUAAUUUUAGUAGAGACAGAGUUUCACCAUAUUGGUCAGGCUGGUCUCGAACUCCUGACCUCAGGUGAUCCACCCACCUUGGCCUCGCAGUUCCAGGCAUCACAGAUAAGCACGCAGCUAGCCAAGAAAGGCAUUUCCUCCCAUGAGUGUCCUUGCACUAGGGGAGCUAAAAAUACAAAAAUACAGGCCGGGCGCGGUGGCUCAUGCCUGUAAUCCCAGCACUUUGGGAGGCCGAGGUGGGCAGAUCUCCUGAGGUCAGGAGUUUGAGACCAGCCUGGCCAACAUGGCGAAACGCUGUCUCUACUAAAAAUACACACAUACACACAAACACACACACACACACAGACACACACACACACAAAUUAGUUGGGCGUGGUGGCGUGUGCUUGUAAUCCCAGCUACCC